rnacentral:tRNA from 1 species
AGUCUUUUAGUAUAAUUGAGUAUAUUCGAUUUCCAAUUGAAUGGUAUGGGAGAUUG